UGUGCCACAGGGUGGCGAAGGAAAAGGCUCUGGGAAAUGUAGAUGACUCAAUCAUUUUGUGGAUGCCUAAUGUAGAUGACUUCAUCCCCCAAAAUAACUGAACCCAGAAGAAACCUUUAGCAAGCAAAGAAGGCUCCUGAAUUCAGUGAUUACAAGACAAAUGGCAUUACAUUUGACAGAUUCCUUGUGUGUCCUGUGCCUUUCCCUGGCAGCAAGGCAAGGCCAAAGGAUCAGAAAAAGGUACAUUUUAAGGAAGCACAGAACUGCAUCUGGCAGACCACACCAGAAGAGACUGCACUGAGGAAAGCAAAGCACUGCAGUGCACAUUGCUCAUCAGCAUGGACUGGCCAGCAAAUCUAACCACACAGUGCACUGCAAGGAUGAAACGGAACAAAGUUCAAUGGAAAGGAUAAACAGGAA